rnacentral:rRNA from 1 species
GGGGAGGAGCCCAGAGCCUGAAUCAGUGUGUGUGUUAGUGGAAGCGUCUGGAAAGGCGCGCGAUACAGGGUGACAGCCCCGUACACAAAAAUGCACAUAUUGUGAGCUCGAUGAGUAGGGCGGGACACGUGGUAUCCUGUCUGAAUAUGGGGGGACCAUCCUCCAAGGCUAAAUACUCCUGACUGACCGAUAGUGAACCAGUACCGUGAGGGAAAGGCGAAAAGAACCCCGGCGAGGGGAGUGAAAAAGAACCUGAAACCGUGUACGUACAAGCAGUGGGAGCCUCUUUUAUGGGGUGACUGCGUACCUUUUGUAUAAUGGGUCAGCGACUUAUAUUCUGUAGCAAGGUUAACCGAAUAGGGGAGCCGAAGGGAAACCGAGUCUUAACUGGGCGUUAAGUUGCAGGGUAUAGACCCGAAACCCGGUGAUCUAGCCAUGGGCAGGUUGAAGGUUGGGUAACACUAACUGGAGGACCGAACCGACUAAUGUUGAAAAAUUAGCGGAUGACUUGUGGCUGGGGGUGAAAGGCCAAUCAAACCGGGAGAUAGCUGGUUCUCCCCGAAAGCUAUUUAGGUAGCGCCUCGUGAACUCAUCUCCGGGGGUAGAGCACUGUUUCGGCAAGGGGGUCAUCCCGACUUACCAACCCGAUGCAAACUGCGAAUACCGGAGAAUGUUAUCACGGGAGACACACGGCGGGUGCUAACGUCCGUCGUGAAGAGGGAAACAACCCAGACCGCCAGCUAAGGUCCCAAAGUCAUGGUUAAGUGGGAAACGAUGUGGGAAGGCCCAGACAGCCAGGAUGUUGGCUUAGAAGCAGCCAUCAUUUAAAGAAAGCGUAAUAGCUCACUGGUCGAGUCGGCCUGCGCGGAAGAUGUAACGGGGCUAAACCAUG